GUGCUCACUUUAGCAGCACAAAUACUAAAAUUGGAAUGAUAGAGAAGAAUAGUAUGGCUCCUUGCUAAGGAUAACACCCAAAUUCAUGCAGUGCUCCAUAUUUUU
rnacentral:snRNA from 1 species